AAAAAAGUGCAGUGGGUUGUUAGUAGGCAUAGAAAUAUCUAUUAUGUUCUUGGAAGCUCUGAAUAAGAUAACGGCUAUGGUUUGGUGAUCAUGUUGUUCAAUCAUGCCAAAUUCAUCUCUAAGUACACCAAUAUGUUUGUUCCCGUGCUAGAUGGUAGCCUUGGCCCGAUAAAUAAUUAUGUUUCCAAUAGGUCCUUUGAGAAAACAAGGUUUGCUCCAAAUUAAAUCCUAACUGCAAAUUGGAAGGUGUGAACUACCUAAAAGCAAAAUAAAUCUUGCACGUGACAUCCAAUUUAAGAUUUCCUGUUGUGAGCAUUGAUGUAAUGGCCACAUUGUAAUUUAUCAUUUGACUUUAGCUUUACUUCACUUUCUUUUUCUCCCCGGGGAAUGGAAUUAGCGGUUGGCAUUUGUUUUCAUAAACUCUGUAUUACAAAAUUGUGUGUUGUAGGUACAUCAUCACGUUAUAGAGGUCCGAAGGUUAAUGAAAUUAUAUGUUUCCAAAAAUAAAAGGUAAGUGACUGCAUCACUUUCUUAAAGCUCGCGUGAUCUUGGACCUACCGGAGGUCCAAGCUAUUUAUUGAUUGGGGGAGAGGGACACCCAUGUCUCUUAUAAAAGAGCAAGGCUUCUCCCAAGCAAAGCAUGUCUUGGAAGUAUAUACCUUGUACUGUUCUAUGCAUUUUUUGCUGUGACUCAUAUAUAUUAGAGAUCUAAUUAGAUAAAUAUAGGCAUAGAAGGCAUCAAGAAUUACCAAUGGAUAACUAGAAUUAUGACAUGCAGGUUGUUCCUUCCAGAUUCCUCGUACAUCUCCCUCCUACUCUAAUGCCUCGACGUGACUAUGGCAUGAAACAUCGGAUGGGCUCGUACAAGAAUACAGUCAUGAACGAGAAAUUCAAGGAACUGCAAGAAUGUUCGCCGAAUUCCUUGUCAUGGGAUCAUGCCGAGGACUGGACAUUGAUCAACCUACUAACCCGCUGCAACAAAACAUCCCUCCAGGGAGGGAGGUUCUUCAUGAAGAGCAAGGUAAGAGAAUCAGUUCAGUUGCUGCUGCUAUCGAAGUGGGCUUGUUCAAGAAUUCAACCGAACUUUAGCACAGAAGGAACAGCCGGCAGAUGACUUGGAGCUCCAAUUCGACCGUUCACUUGCAACAGGUAGCUGAGCCAAAGACUGACGAGGCAGUCAUUCCUCCUGCUCUACCUAUCCACUCCCAUUCGAUAGAUGCCCCACCUGUACGUGGUUGACGCCGGCAUCAGGCUCCCUCCAUCUUUGCUUUAUUCAAAUCCAAAGCGCA
rnacentral:lncRNA from 1 species